rnacentral:rRNA from 1 species
GUCCACGCCCUAAACGAUGCAUAUUUGGUGUAGGUCAUUCAGUUGAUCUGUGCCGGAGCUAACGCGUUAAAUAUGCCGCCUGGGGAGUACAGUCGCAAGGCUGAAACUCAAAGGAAUUGACGGGGGCCCGCACAAGCGGUGGAGCAUGUGGUUAAAUUCGACGCAACGCGAAGAACCUUACCUGGGCUCGAACGGCUCACGAAAAGCUGUGGAAACACGGUUUUCCCGCAAGGGACGGGAGUCGAGGUGCUGCAUGGCUGUCGU